UCUCUUUCUCUCUCUCUCUCUUGCCCCAUUUCCUCGCGAGCUGGCACCGGACUUCGCUUGCGCCGUGGGAGCAGCGAAAGGGGUCUCUGUAUCUAUCUCUUCGUGUGCCCCGCUAAUAUGCACGAGCACGUCUCGGAGAACGUGAAGCGCUUCGCACCGCCUCCUCCCAGAAAUCGUUCUAUCAAUCGGCGCAGACCCGGAGAUAGAUAUGAUAAAGUGAACUACGCUCAUGGUAUUGAUGAGGAAAAGAGUCAAGAAUUUUAUCCAAGAAAAGUUCCACUGGUAGAACAUGGGGAGGUAGGCGGAAACCGUGUUGCAAAUGAUAACACUCAUCCAAAGUUGAUACCUUUAGAUGGUUGUUCUGCCAGUGAGGCUAUAACAUUUUUAACAGAGCGCUGGGCAGCUGCUGUGCAUUUAUUGGAUAAUUCAUCAGCUGAUGUAUCUGGGAAUUGAAUGCAUGGGCAGCAAGUCAGGUCUUGGAUGAGCUCAGAGGCAGAUAGUAGUGUGUUGUAGUCAAAUACAGGGAUCUACAAUUGAAUACUUGUUGGAAAUCUUUGUUCCUGAACUGUCUUACUACGGAAAUAGCUAGAUGAACAUUUUGGGAGAAUUACAAUGCAAGAUACACAAAUCCAACAGCGAUGUAAGAUCAACCACCUCUGAUGAUAGCUGACUCACAAGAGAAUUUUGUUUGAUAAUUUACUUAAAAAUUUUGAGAAACUCUGCGGGAAGUGUCAUGUCAGCAUCGUAACCUGUAAUAUAACAAUUGGUAUCCAAAUACACACUGAUGUGUUGUGUCAGUACCUAACAGCAUUCUGUAUCAUAGCUAGCAUGAAAUCAGCAUUGUGGAUGUGCUUUACAGUUUCUAAUGCUUUCAUACGCACCAGAAUGUUAGGUCAGUUGGUUAGAUGAGUGUCUUGGAGAGCUUUGUCAUUGGUUGUCUUCUUGGUCAGGCCAUGAAUGAGAUUUUUCUUGAGUAUGCUCUA